rnacentral:rRNA from 1 species
AGUGAACGCUGGCGGUAGGCCUAACACAUGCAAGUCGAACGGCAGCACAGUAAGAGCUUGCUCUUACGGGUGGCGAGUGGCGGACGGGUGAGGAAUACAUCGGAAUCUACUUUUUCGUGGGGGAUAACGUAGGGAAACUUACGCUAAUACCGCAUACGACCUACGGGUGAAAGCAGGGGAUCUUCGGACCUUGCGCGAUUGAAUGAGCCGAUGUCGGAUUAGCUGGUUGGCGGGGUAAAGGCCCACCAAGGCGACGAUCCGUAGCUGGUCUGAGAGGAUGAUCAGCCACACUGGAACUGAGACACGGUCCAGACUCCUACGGGAGGCAGCAGUGGGGAAUAUUGGACAAUGGGCGCAAGCCUGAUCCAGCCAUACCGCGUGGGUGAAGAAGGCCUUCGGGUUGUAAAGCCCUUUUGUUGGGAAAGAAAAGCAGCAGAUUAAUACCCCGCUGUUCUGACGGUACCCAAAGAAUAAGCACCGGCUAACUUCGU